AUUGAACGCUGGCGGCAGGCCUAACACAUGCAAGUCGAGCGAGCGGCGGACGGGUGAGUAAUGUCUGGGAAACUGCCUGAUGGAGGGGGAUAACUACUGGAAACGGUAGCUAAUACCGCAAACCAUCAGAUGUGCUCAGAUGGGUUUAGCUAGGGGGUGGGGUAAUGGCUCACCUAGGCGACGAUACCUAGCUGGUCUGAGAGGAUCACCGGACACACUGGAACUGAGACACGGUCCAGACUCCUACGGGAGGCAGCAGUGGGGAAUAUUGCACAAUGGGCGCAAGCCUGAUGCAGCCAUGCCGCGUGUGUGAAGAAGGCCUUCGGGUUGUAAAGCACUUUCAGCGGGGAGGCGUUACUCGCAGAAGAAGCACCGGCUAACUCCGUGCCAGCAGCCGCGGUAAUUC
rnacentral:rRNA from 1 species